CCUGUUCUGCUGGGCCCCUCGCGUGCUGUGCGUGUUGUGAGCCACCCCAGAGGCUGAGGCCCCAUGCCUGACCAGCCGGGAGGCAGCAGGGGAUUCAGCACGGGAUUCAGAAAGGGUGCAGGACCGCUCCGCAGAUGGCUGGCCCAGACAACCAGCGCCAGAGACAGGUACCGCCGCUGUCCUUAACUUUCCUGGAUCAGCCUCCCACCGAGCCCAGAGCCUCUUCUCCAGUCUAAUUUGCUGUGGAACAGUGGGGGUGGCUUUACAGGAGAAAAGAGAGCGAGAAGGGGAAAACGGAGUGAGAAGAGUCAGAAUAUGUCUGGGGAAGGAAGGAGGCAGAAGUUAUUUCGAUCCGUUCCUUAUCCUCAGCUCAGAAGCCUACACUGGACAGUGCCCAGGUUAUUAGUGGGCCCUGGGACAUUCCUGUGUAAGCCUAGUGGAAGAAAGAGAGCUGACCACAGCCAACAAGAGGUUAAGGCCCAAAGUCAAAAUAAAGAGGAUUCUCUGGGUCUCUGAACGUAACUUCAAGCAUUCAGUGUGAAGGCAGGAGCUGGGAGAAGAGAGAAAACAUGGAAUUGUGUUUUGGAUUACUUUUUUCUGAUUACAAAAGUAAUACAUGUUCAAUGUGGAAAACCAGGAAAAUACAGAAAAGUACAAAAAGGGAUUGAAAAAAAAACCUCAACGCUUGUGAUCCCACUACCCAGAUAUAAUCAAUGUCAACAUGUUCAUUUACCAUUCUGAUGUUGUUUCAAUGCAUAUUCUUUGUCUCACCUCAUUCAUUCAUUUAUUAUUUUUUAAAUUGAAGUAUAGUUGAUUUACAACAUUGUGUUAUUUUCUGGUAUACAGCAUAGUUAUUCAUAUAUAUGUAUAUUUCUUUUCAUAUUCUUUUUUAUUAUAGGCCAUUA